UUGCUAUGAUGAAACAUCAAAUGAGAUUGUUUGAGAGUUUUGAUGCUCUGUGAAACGUCGACGUUUAUGUCGAUCUGAGCGGUUACCUGAGCAA
rfam:Helianthus annuus linkage group 17, whole genome shotgun sequence.